UCUCUCUCUCUCUCUCUCUCUCUCUCUCUCUCUCUCUCUCUCUCUCUCUUUCUCUGUCUGUCUUCGUGUUAUCUCUCAGUUUGUUACGGAAACGAAUAAUGCGCGUGUUACAAGGAGAACGAAUCGAAGGCAAGUCCAGCACGAAUUACGACGACUCGAUGAACGUCCGAACGUUAACUGACUGGCCUCACAGAGAGUCUUUGCGAGCUCCCACUGUCAGAAUCCGAGAGUAGUGGCCGUUCCAACGACCGUUGCCGAUCACUGAGGCGACCAACAUACAACCGAAUCGGUAGAAGGGACCCUUCCUGUCGGAUCACGCUCGUUAAUAAGAAGUAUGUUGUGACUGACGACUAAUAAUCGUUGACAACAUUGUUGAUAAUUAGCGUUCACAUAUUAUAGGCUACAUAAAUCGGAUCAAGUUGAUCGGCAAGAAAUCCAUCGCGCAAAUGCAUCCGUUGUUUCUCACCUCUGGAGUUGAUUGGAACUACACCAGGAUCAACUACUACAACGACGCCUACU